rnacentral:snoRNA from 1 species
UUUGGAGGGAUAAGAAAGCAAAGUCUGAGAAGUGAGACUCUGCUGAUACCACCCUCCUACAGUAACAGGGCGGAGAGAGAGAGCAGCUCGGCUCUGAGAUUCAGCCACUGCUCCCUGCACCAUCCAACAUUU